UUGUAUGAAACUGACACAAUAUUAUCAUUGAUUGAACAUUCUUGAACCUGAACUGCGCUACAUGAGCUCAUAUAUGACUAAUUGAUCACACAAUAUGAGCAAGUCCCAAAAUUUAACAAUUAACGGAGUGUCAUUAUCCAGGAAAUGUCUUUUUAAAUUAAGCUCUCUUGGUGGCCAUUAUGAAGACAUAUCAAGUGAAAACGGACAGUUUGAUUAUGGUAGGUUAUAGCUCUCUUUGGAUAUGGUGAGAUCACAAAAUCUGUUGGUGAAAAUGAGUAAUAUAUGUGCUCCAGAGGGAAGGAUGAAUUGAGCAAUUCAAAACUUAUAAAAUAUUUUUGAAAAACUUCCAAAGUGUUUGUCACUCCCUUAUAAUGUUAGAUCACUCGAUCAAUUUCCUUUUGGGUUAAAUUAUGAGAUAUCGUCAAAUGCAAUAAACAACCUAUGAUUCUGGUGCAAAUUUCUAAUGUAUAUUCAACUCUAUAGUCUAUACAAAUACAAUGACCUCUACUUUGAUGGAGUGCAAUGAAUGGAAUGAAUCAAUGAAUGGAAUGAAUCAAUGAAUGGAAUGAAUCAAUGAAUGUAAUGAGACAAUUUGUAUGUUCACAAUACAACCUGUACUUACCUAGAGAUGAAGUACUUGUAUCCUCCCAUCUCCUUCCUCAUCACCUCAGCUCCUCCAAUGCUUCUUUUCCUUUUGCCAAGAUUGCUCCAAUGUGGGUAAGGUACCUACAAUUUCAUUAGAUGCUCAAGUUAGCUGUGAGUGAUAUUGAGGUGUUUAAGUGUUAGCUUGCUCACCUGUGUGAACUUACCACCCCUUUUUAUAAGGGUAUUGUUGAUAAGAUAAGAGUCUUAUUGAUAAGUUAUCUUUAAGAGGUGAUAGUUUGUCUUUUAUCUCGUGUUGAUGAUAAUUUGUUUACUGUUUCCAUUAUCCUGUAGCCGAAAACCCUCCUUAUCCAAGUUACAAGUUGAUCAAGGAUAUCCUAAUCCAUCCACCUUGAGCCUUGAGGGAGACUGAAUUAGCUGAGUUCCUCCAUAUUCCGCUAGUACACAACCAAUAUCCCAACAAUGAUGUCAGUGUAUCAAUGUUAUUCAAUCAAUAUCAAGAUUCAAUGCCAAUCUCCAAUGCAAAAGAUGGGAUUUUCCAUUACAAGUAACCUUUGUAGAAUCACGUGCCUCACUUAAAUGAGACAUAAUUUGCAAGCAGAACUUAAACUGCCAGAGUUGCAAAGCCAAUGGGGACAUGAUUUCCGGCCUGAUUAUCGGGGAUUGGGAUCUCUUAAGCAA